rnacentral:rRNA from 1 species
CACGUAGGGGGCAAGCGUUGUCCGGAUUUAUUGGGCGUAAAGAGCUCGUAGGCGGCUCAGUAAGUCAGGUGUGAAACCUCCAGGCUCAACCUGGAGACGCCACCUGAUACUGCUGUGGCUAGAGUCCGGUAGGGGAGCGUGGAAUUCCUGGUGUAGCGGUGAAAUGCGCAGAUAUCAGGAGGAACACCAGCGGCGAAGGCGGCGCUCUGGGCCACUACUGACGCUGAGGAGCGAAAGCGUGGGGAGCGAACAGG